UGUAAAUAACUGUAAUUUUUCGAGGAAUGAAGCUGGGUUAAUUACCAUUGAUAAUAUACAGCUGUGGGCUGGCUUCAGAGGCAGAGGGUUGGCUGAUGUAGAUAAGGUGCAGGUGUGGCUGGUUCUGUGAAGUGGUUGAGAGUCAGUGAAGAGAGAGCAGCUGAGGAAGAAGCAGGGAGAGGAAGAAGCAAGAGAAGAGAGAGUGGGCCUUGGAUGAGGAGAAGGCAGCAGAGGGACUGGCAUGAAGAGUAUGUUGAUUUUUAGGAGGGGACUCCAAGGUGGUCAUCCAGUCAUUUCUUCAUCCCAAAGCAAUGUCAAAGGAUCUACAUCACUCCUCUCACAUGCUUCUCUUGCAAAUUAUCGAAUCAUAUGUCUUCUCAGACAAGCUACUCUACUACUGCAAUGGCUAUCAGGAAAUAUCUUUCUAGUAUCAAAGCUAAGUCUAACCUCCAAACAAUUUAAGGACAACUAGGAGCUUCCUGAGACAGAUAAUACAACUACAUUGUUGUAUCUUGGGUUUCCAUAGCUGGGGGGGGGCACGCUACAGAGAGGGGCUUCUGUGAGAAGCUCCUAGAAGCUUCCCCUAUGUCCGGUGGAGCCAACGUCAGCCGGCUUCAAGAUGCACCCGCCACUGGCCAAGGCCGAGCCCAGCAGUGACAGUGGUAGCGCCUCUGGGAUGGUGUAUUUAAGAUGGGGGGUGGGGAACCCUGUGCAAGAGCAACUGCAGCCAGAGAGAGGAGUGUGACUGUGUGAGAGAAACAACUCUGCAGGCACAGAGGUCAGUGAAGAAGCAGAGGGAGAAGGUGUUCCAGGUGCCAGAACAGAGAUUCCCCUGCAGCCUGUGGUGAAGACCAAGGUGUGAGGCAGGCUGUCCCCCUGCAGCCCAUGGAGGUUAACGCUGGAUCAGAUUUCCACGUGCAGCCUGUGGAGGACCACACUCCAGAGCAGGUUGGAGUCAUUGGAACAUGUUAUGGUAUUAUCUCACUGAAACGUCUUGCAGAAUGAAAGAAUGAAACAGUUACACAGGAUCAGAUCACGACAGACCCUUGUGGACACAUAGGUCCUUGCAUUUGGAAGCAGAUCAUUAAUUAACAGCUUGUUGGGGUAUGAUUAUUUCACCAUUUUUACAUUCUCACUGUACAGAAUUUUAAUGUAACCCAUAUUUCCUGGGCUUGCCAAGAUUACAUUAAGUACACCUGAAGCAUUAAAGCCAUAAUACCUGACACAGGGUAUUUCUUCGUACUUGACAACAUGUAUUAUCCUGCCAGAGGAAGAAAUUAAUUGAUAGACUCACACUGGCAGUUGUUCCCUUGCACAAUGCUAUGUGUCUACAGGUUUUGUUCUGGCGAUUUCACUGGAAUUUAAGUUACACAGACUUGCUGAUAAAUCCCCUGGUUUUCGACCCCCCCCCCCCCCCCCCCCCCCCCCGGCAGGUACUACACCUGCUUUUUAUGAACCCAACCAGUCCUCCAGGAUUCCAUUUCAGCUCAGUGUUGACAAGUCUUCGGAGGGAGAUCACAUGCCACAGCUAGCUUGAGAGCACCCAACUGAUAUUUCCCUAGGUUGUUCUCAGAGUACAGCAACUUCUCUUUGGAUUCAAAUGCUUUAUCUGCUUUUUGUAGCUGGGAGUGACAAUUGAAACAAAAAAUCUCAACAGAUAACUUAUGAACAUUUGUUCUUUGCUUCUUGUGUCAUACUCUGUGUUAUUUCUAUUAUGAAGUCCUGCUUCGGUUUUUUUUUAAGGUUAUAGCUC